rnacentral:rRNA from 1 species
AGAAGAUAUCGAAAUGUUACAAGACUUAGUGUUAGCUGCAACAAAUGAUGCACUUAAAAAGGCCGAUGAGCUAUCAAACUCUACAAUGGGUAAAUUUACAAAAGGCUUAAACUUACCAGGUGGAAUGUUCUAGGGGGAUAUUGAUACAUGCAUUAUCCAGAGCCAAUAUCAAAACUAAUCGAUAGUUUUAUGAAGUUGCCAGGUAUCGGACCGAAAACAGCGGUUCGAUUGGCAUUUUUCGUAUUAGAUAUGAAAGAAGAUGAUGUGUUAGGUUUUGCGAAAGCACUUGUAAAUGCGAAGCGAGAUUUAGCGUAUUGUUCUGUAUGUGGACAUAUUACUGAUCGUGAUCCUUGUUAUAUUUGUAAUGAUUCGCAUCGAGAUCAAUCAGUUGUUUGUGUCGUGCAAGAACCGAAAGAUGUAAUCGCGAUGGAAAAAAUGAAAGAGUAUCAAGGUGUAUAUCAUGUGUUACGUGGUGCGAUUUCUCCUAUGGAGGGAAUUGGACCGGAAGACAUUAAUAUCCCGCAACUCUUAAAGCGACUACAUGAUGAAACGGUACAAGAAGUAAUAUUAGCAACAAACCCUAAUAUUGAAGGGGAAGCUACAGCGAUGUAUAUCUCCCGCCUCUUAAAACCUACAGGCAUUAAAGUAACUCGUAUUGCACAUGGUCUGCCAGUUGGUGGAGAUUUAGAAUAUGCAGAUGAAGUGACACUAUCGAAAGCGUUAGAAGGUCGCAGAGAAGUAUAAGAGGAGAAACAAAAAUGUUCUUUCAAAAAAAGGGUAAAUUGCGUAAAGAGUAUGAUGAUAAGUUAAUUGUACUUUUGGAAAAAGUGAAGAAUGAGUGGUUACGUCAGAAGAGAAUGGUUGAACAAAGUGUAGAACCAUCUCAAGAUGUCAUUUGUUCUUUGAAGAUAGCAGAGGCGAAAUAUUUCUUCUUGUUGAAAGAAGCAAAGCGUCGUCCUGUAAAAAUGGAACAAUGGUAAAGGGUUCUGCUUUCUAAGCAGGCCUUUUUAUUUUAUUUGUUAAAAUGCUGAGGUGUUGUUUCAUUUUGUUUAUAUGAAAGAGAUGUCGCUUAUGAUAACUGUUCUUUUUUAUUGUCUUGUCCCAUACAAAUAGAUGUAUAGGUCAUUCAUAAGGAGGAAAAGAUGAAUUCUACAAUUAUUAUUGUUGGCAUUCUUACUUUAGUGUUUAUUUUUCUUGUUUUUGGUGUUGCCUCUAAGCCAUUGCGUUUUAUAGGUAAGGUGAUUUUUCAUGUUACUUUAGGCAUAGCGUUGCUUUUUAUCGUAAAUGUUGUAGGGACAUAUUUUGAUUUUCAUAUCCCGAUUAACAUGGGUACAGCAGCAAUAACGAGUUUAUUAGGCCUACCGGGUGUGGCAGCAUUAGUGAUUAUUAAGCUUUAUAUUAUGCCAAGAUAAAAUUAUUUUGGCGUUUUUUUUAAAAGUGUUGACUAUUAAAUGAUUAGUAUGGUAAAUUAAUAAGCGUCGUCAGGAACGAAAGAAAAAAGUUGUUGACAGAUUUAACGAGAAAUGUUAAAUUAUAAAAGUCGCUGAAACGCGAUAUUGAACUUUGAAAACUAAACGAAACAAACAACGUGAAACGUCAAUUUUUAUUUUUAGAUGCUAGACAAACUAACUUUAUUGGAGAGUUUGAUCCUGGCUCAGGAUGAACGCUGGCGGCGUGCCUAAUACAUGCAAGUCGAGCGAA